CACGUAGGGGGACGAGCGUUGUCCGGAUUCAUUGGGCGUAAAGCGCGCGUAGGCGGCUUGUCGCGUCGACUGUGAAAUCCCGCGGCUCAACUGCGGGUCUGCAGUCGAUACGGGCAGGCUAGAGUUCGGUAGGGGAGACUGGAAUUCCUGGUGUAGCGGUGAAAUGCGCAGAUAUCAGGAGGAACACCGGUGGCGAAGGCGGGUCUCUGGGCCGAUACUGACGCUGAGGAGCGAAAGCGUGGGGAGCGAACAGG
rnacentral:rRNA from 1 species